rnacentral:rRNA from 1 species
UGGGGAAUUUUGGACAAUGGGCGAAAGCCUGAUCCAGCAAUGCCGCGUGUGUGAAGAAGGCCUUCGGGUUGUAAAGCACUUUUGUCCGGAAAGAAAUCCUUGGCUCUAAUACAGUCGGGGGGAUGACGGUACCGGAAGAAUAAGCACCGGCUAACUACGUGCCAGCAGCCGCGGUAAUACGUAGGGUGCAAGCGUUAAUCGGAAUUACUGGGCGUAAAGCGUGCGCAGGCGGUUUGCUAAGACCGAUGUGAAAUCCCCGGGCUCAACCUGGGAACUGCAUUGGUGACUGGCAGGCUAGAGUAUGGCAGAGGGGGGUAGAAUUCCACGUGUAGCAGUGAAAUGCGUAGAGAUGUGGAGGAAUACCGAUGGCGAAGGCAGCCCCCUGGGCCAAUACUGACGCUCAUGCACGAAAGCGUGGGGAGCAAACAGGAUUAGAUACCCUGGUAGUCCACGCCCUAAACGAUGUCAACUAGUUGUUGGGGAUUCAUUUCCUUAGUAACGUAGCUAACGCGUGAAGUUGACCGCCUGGGGAGUACGGUCGCAAGAUUAAAACUCAAAGGAAUUGACGGGGUCAUAGCUGUUUCCU